UGCCUGACCCCAGAGCCACGCUGACGCUGGUGUAUAUCUCUCUGCUAGCCUGCAAGAUGACCUGCUCCAAUAUCACAGCAGCAGCGAUCCCAGCAGUCUCCUCUCCCUCGACCUUAAGACAUGUACUGUAUGAUAAUGUAUAGAACUCUUUAUAUGGGUGCUCUGUUCAGAUCUAUCUAUCUUAGAGCUGUGGGGACUACAAGCAUCACUUACAUUAUCAUAUGUACCUACUGCCGAACUACAAGUCCCAGCAUCACACACUGUGGGGGCACAAAAUUCGAACUUGCCUUCGGGAGACAGGGAUGAACUUACGCCACUGCACAGAGGACAUGCUGCUCCAGAUCCUGCCAGCCAGACUGAUAAUUCUGCUCUUUGCUGAUGCAGAAAAGGCUUUCAAUCAUGUUGACUGGGAUUUUAUGGCUGAUGUGCUGAGACAUGUGGGACUGGAUCCAAUCUGUUUGCAUCAUAGUCAUGGAGACGAUGGAAUACAAGGAAAGGCUUGAAAGACUAGGCAUGUUUACAUUGGAAAAGUGGAGACUAAGAGGGGAUAUGAUCAACAUCUACAAAUAUAUAAGGGGACAAUACACAGAGCUUGCGCGGGACCUGUUUUUGGUUAGAUCAACACAGAGGACUCGUGGACACUCGCUCAGGUUAGAGGAGAGGAGAUUCCGCACAAUACGUCGUAAAGGCUUCUUCACGGAUCAAAACUAAAUGUUUAUCCAUGAGGUAGGCAGUUGACUUGUUCCUCUUGUGGUACCCCGGAAAAUGGUGUGCAAGCCCUUUAAUGCAUGACUUACUGGUCCACAACAGCACAAGGGGAGAAAUCUGCACAGCAGGAGUUAAAGCAAGAACUCUAUUUCGAUCACAUGAUCAGGAAUGCUGGCCGCUGACUGGACGUAGGCAGCUUGGGGACCAGAGCCUUGUGGGAAGAGGAAGGAAGGCGGUUUGGUGAAGAGACGGGAGGUCCUGGGAUGCAUGCUACAUUCGGAGCUGAACACAAGUGAUAGUCGCGGGAUUCUGGGUGGUGAGAGCAGCGAUGCAGAGGUGCAAACAGCAGGCUGCCAUCUGAAAGACAAGUGCUGGGUCAGUGGGUGAUGAGAUGCUGCAACUGUAGCCUGGACACUGCCAGGCCUAAGGAAAGGCAUGGUCGACAUAGCCAUUUUAUGACUAUAAGGAAACAUUAAGAACUGGUCCAGCAAGUGAAAUCUCCUCUUUAGAGUGUCUGAGGGAGUACAUGAGUGAAUAAGUUACUAAAGCCCCGGGCAAGCUUGUUAUCCAGUUAAGGAAACACGAUCACCAGCUGUGCUGUUAAAGGGUACAGAUGGCAUAGUGCCACAUCCCCUAAGUUAAACACCGCAAUACCACAUUCCACAAGCUGCAAUGUGGUUAUUAAGGCAACCCUUUCCCCUUUCACAGACUGUGAGAAUAUUUAAGACUGAGUUGUGUUACAAUCACAAUAUAUACAUUCAUUCUAAAAGACUGAGUUUGUGGCAAGUUAAAGUACAGCCCUGUAAACAGUACAGAGACAGAGUUUGUUUCAUUGGAAAGACCCUCAUUGUUAAGUGAGUUUAAACAGUUUAGAGACACUAUCUUCCCUUCUCUAGCUACAUCCUUUUUGCAUGGAAUUGUAAACAUUUGUCUCCGUUAACAUCCAGGAAUUCCCCUUUUAUUUGUGUGCCAAUCCCCCAUUGACAUUUUGGCACUGCAAAAAUACUAUCUGAGCUCCAACGUUUAAUGCCAGUGAAGAUUGCCAUACCUUGGCUUGGGAAAGAUAGUGUUAUGAGCCACGGCUGUGGCUCAUUCCUGUUUUGCAUUUUGGUUAUGUAUUUUAUGGUAUACUUCUGUUUAUGUUCCCCGUGGGUGUCAUGGGGUGCUCGGAGCUCACCCUUAAGGAGAGGAUACUGUUAUGAACCACAGGUAGUGGUUCAUUCCUAUUUUAUGUUUUUAGUUCUCUUGCAGGCCAGGAUUUCCCUUUGCUUUGGUUUAGAAGAUUAUUGUUUUCUGUCAGUGGUGAGUCUGUGUAAUUGCAGCUUGUUUUCAUGUGGUUGGCCUCACCUGUCUGCUAAUUGCAUCUUGUCAGUUUGGAGUCAUGCAACAGGGCAGCUGCACGACAUAAUUAAUUAGGCCUCUCUGUUAUAUGCUGGCUCAGUGCAAUUCACAGAUGCUGGUGAUAUUUCCUGGGUUCCAGAGUUCUUGAGUUCUGAGCUGAUCCAUGCCAGUGCCUGAGCUCCUGUCUAGCAGUGUCUGUCUAGCUGCUUCCGGUGUCGGUUCCUGUGUCGAUUCCUGUGUCAGUUCCUGUGUCUGAUUCCGUGUCCUGCCGUGAAGCAUUCCUGUCGAGAAGUCCUGUGGCUUUGCCUAUGCCUGGUCGAGUUUUUGGCUUCUUGGUGUCCACCGGUCUGUCGUUUGGGAUUCUGCCUGUCCUCCAGUUCUGAGAGCCUGUGUCGGCAGCAUUGGGGGUUCCUGUCCGUUUGCCAGUAUUUGUACCGGUUCUGUGAGUAGCGGCUUUGCCGCGUCCGUCGGCCUAGGCCACUGUAUUCCUUUGUUAUAUUUAGUUACUGGUGUUUUGCAGAGGGUUCUGCUUAUGCUGUCACCGCCGGUACACAAAAGUAUUGUGUCGGCGUGUGGACAGCAUUUCCUUUGGUUGUUCUUUUCCUUUGGCGGCAAGCCGCACAUACAUUUAGUUUUAGGCUAGUCAGUAGCCCCUGGCUUUGGUUGUUUCAGUUAGAGGUCCCCUUGUUAUUACCCUGUCUCAGUUCACGCUUUGUCUCCCUUUAAGACCUGCAGGGGCAUCGGAGUUGGACAGACCUAAUCCGCCCUUCAAACGCGGCUGCCAUGGGCCCAAGAAACCAUAGUCAUGCAGGCGUGAACUGACCACACGGAUAAAACAACGGAGGUAGGGUGCUAGGGGCUAUUUCCACACCACACCUUGUUCCAGCGUCACGUUCUGGUGCUCAGGACUCACUACGCAACAUCUCCCUUAUUCUGAGCACCAGGAACCUAACAGAUAGAAUGUUAGUGUUUGCUAUGAUUGAUUGUGUUUUUCAUUACUCUCCUCAUCUCCACAUUAUAAACUGUGAUUUCAAAGACAACAAUUGUGAUUCUUAUUAACGUGUUCAUCUGCGAUUCCAAUGAUAUUCUGCCAUUCUUUUGUGAUUCCAAUUAAAUGUCUUUUGCAUAUUGAAUGCUCGUUUGUGUUGUGAAAUGUAGCCAAUUGUCUGUUCUUUGUUCAUCUUUUAUGCCCAAAUUCUUCUUUUUGUGAUUAUUCGAAUUUAAUGCCAAGUAAUCAAUCAUCAGUUUCAAUCCAGAGUUUAUUGCAGCUCAAUAAAGACAUCCUGUUAGAAUAUCUGACUCACUCCUGUUUCGUAUCAAUCUAUCCUACGUCUCUGAACACAGUACUACAGGACAAGUUACGAGGAGAAGCAUUUCAAGGGAAAGGUCCAUCACAUAGCCACCCAACACUUGUGAUACCUCUCUCAACCACUUAGACAUACCCGCCAACCUCGGGGUGUUACACGUUUACCUCCCCUUGAGCAGGUUGUUAUCGUUCUGUAGUAUUUGUUUCUGCACUUUUACUUGUUCAAUUUUUUUAAUUGUAAU